rnacentral:rRNA from 1 species
AGUCGAGGGGCAUCACGAGGUAGCAAUACUUUGGUGGCGACCGGCGCACGGGUGCGUAACGCGUAUGUAACCUACCUAUAACAGGGGCAUAACACUGAGAAAUUGGUACUAAUUCCCCAUAAUAUUCGGAGAGGCAUCUCUCCGGGUUGAAAACUCCGGUGGUUAUAGAUGGACAUGCGUUGUAUUAGCUAGUUGGUGAGGUAACGGCUCACCAAGGCAACGAUACAUAGGGGGACUGAGAGGUUAACCCCCCACACUGGUACUGAGACACGGACCAGACUCCUACGGGAGGCAGCAGUGAGGAAUAUUGGUCAAUGGACGCAAGUCUGAACCAGCCAUGCCGCGUGCAGGAAGACGGCUCUAUGAGUUGUAAACUGCUUUUGUACGAGGGUAAACUCACCUACGUGUAGGUGACUGAAAGUAUCGUACGAAUAAGGAUCGGCUAACUCCGUGCCAGCAGCCGCGGUAAUACGGAGGAUUCAAGCGUUAUCCGGAUUUAUUGGGUUUAAAGGGUGCGUAGGCGGUUUGAUAAGUUAGAGGUGAAAUCCCGGGGCUUAACUCCGGAACUGCCUCUAAUACUGUUAGACUAGAGAGUAGUUGCGGUAGGCGGAAUGUAUGGUGUAGCGGUGAAAUGCUUAGAGAUCAUACAGAACACCGAUUG